rnacentral:rRNA from 1 species
AUAUUGCACAAUGGAGGGAACUCUGAUGCAGCGACGCCGCGUGAACGAAGAAGGCUUUCGAGUCGUAAAGUUCUUUUAUAUGGGAAGAUAAUGACGGUACCAUAAGAAAAAGCCCCGGCUAACUACGUGCCAGCAGCCGCGGUAAUACGUAGGGGGCUAGCGUUGUCCGGAAUCACUGGGCGUAAAGGGUUCGCAGGCGGAAAUGCAAGUCAGGUGUAAAAGGCAGUAGCUUAACUACUGUAAGCAUUUGAAACUGCAUAUCUUGAGAAGAGUAGAGGUAAGUGGAAUUUUUAGUGUAGCGGUGAAAUGCGUAGAUAUUAAAAAGAAUACCGGUGGCGAAGGCGACUUACUGGGCUCAUUCUGACGCUGAGGAACGAAAGCGUGGGUAGCAAACAGGAUUAGAUACCCUGGUAGUCCACGCUGUAAACGAUGAGUGCUAGGUAUCGGAAUAAUUCGGUGCCGCAGUUAACACAUUAAGCACUCCGCCUGGGGAGUACGUGCGCAAGCAUGAAACUCAAAGGAAUUGACGGGGACCCGCACAAGCAGCGGAGCAUGUGGUUUAAUUCGAAGCAACGCGAAGAACCUUACCAGGGCUUGACAUACUGAGGACCGGUAUAGAGAUAUACCCUCUUCUUCGGAAGCCUCAAUACAGGUGGUGCAUGGUUGUCGUCAGCUCGUGUCGUGAGAUGUUCAGUUAAGUCUGGCAACGAGCGCAACCCCUAUCUUUAGUUACCAGCAUUUCGGAUGGGGACUCUAAAGAGACUGCCGAUGAUAAAUCGGAGGAAGGUGGGGAUGACGUCAAAUCAUCAUGCCCUAUAUGCCCUGGGCUACACACGUGCUACAAUGGAAGAUACAAAGGGAAGCGAAAUAGUGAUAUUAAGCAAACCUCAAAAAGUCUUUCCCAGUUCGGAUUGUACUCUGCAACUCGAGUACAUGAAGAUGGAGUUGCUAGUAAUCGCAGAUCAGAAUGCUGCGGUGAAUGCGUUCCCGGGUCUUGUACACACCGCCCGUCACACCAUGGAAGCUUGUAAUACCCGAAGCCUGCGAGCAAACCGUAAGGAAGCAGCAGUCGAAG